rnacentral:lncRNA from 1 species
AUGCUAACGCAGCUUGUGAGACAGAAUUCUGGUAUGUCCCUACAAAAAGAAGGCAAGGUUGACAUAAAAAAGCGGUAUCUUUUGGGAAAACUGAGUUCCGACACUGUCUCUAAACCCAAAAAUGCUUCCGGUGGCUGCUCCGCCCAGAUACCAAACUCAGCUUCUCAUCACUCCGAAAGGUUUGGAAGGACGGCCAGCGGAUCGUCUGAGGAAGAAGGGUCAGACUCCAGUUUGAGUGAAUCGGUUAUAGUUCGAACGAUGAGCCGGAAACAAAGUAAAAUUAAUGAGAGGGAAAGCAGCUUGGCCCUAAAGGAGAUCAAUCAUGGUGGCAAUGAGAGAGAUGGAUCAACUGGUGACGAUGUAAACUAUCAGCGCUCAAGUAGCUUGCAGGAGCAAAUACGUAAACAUAGAACCUGUCUCCAUCAACAUACAGAAUGGCAGCAUGGUUGUUUCAAAGGAUCUCCGAAAAACGAAAGAGUUUGGAAUGAGAAUGAGCCCAGGGAAAGCAACUUUAAAACACUUCCGAAAAAAUGUGCUGUUGCCAGCUGCAACAAACACGCAGUUAUCGAUAUCACAGAAGCCUUGGAGACGAGCAAACAAAACGAUUGCAAAUCGAAAAUCGAUGCAAAGCCUAAAAUUUGUUCCCAUAAAAAACCCGUCGAAAGCACCUCAAGUCACAAAACAUGUUUAUCAUGCACUGCACCUCUGACCGACCAAAACUCAAAAACUCAGCCUAGCAACAGUGCAAAGCGCUUGAUUCCCUCAGAUACCUUUCCUUUAACCGAUAGCUUUCCAGGCCACUUAGAAGAUGUCCCGUACUUCCGCUCUCCGAGUCAAGAGGAUUUCCGGCAGUAUAUCAGUCGGAUGCGACCCUGCAUCAGUGCACAACACCCCAGCCACCACGUGCCAGCAAAAAAAUACCAUACCAUGCCUGCCAGGAGUGUUAGCCCCAACAAGUACAGCAUGCCAAAUUACUGGGAGACAGGAAACUGUGCGCAUACCCUGACUGAUUACACGAACUGUUCUUAUGCUAACCAGGAGACCUUUGUGUACCACUGCACUCAAGAAAAUGGAGCAAAUGAUUAUGACUUUCAGCUGAACAAUGAUUUCGAACCUUUACCAUUCAUGCAGUCGACAAGACCACUUGUUGACUCGAGCGGCCGACCUCUCUUAAUUCUUGACGGUGAUGGACGUCCAUUGAUGAACUAUGAUGGUCAGCCAAUCUUGCCGGAAAGCGUCCAAGAAGAUUAUCAAAAUUUAAACGAACUGCUAUUAGAGCGGGAGAAAUCCAAUCAGACAAAUAAAUUUCCUUGCUUUGGGUUUCAUUAA